rnacentral:lncRNA from 1 species
CCAUCUUCACUCUAAAUCUGCAGUCCCACAUCGAGCCCAUAAAUAUGUAAUGCCACAUCUUGAUAACUAUAUAAACCCGUAUGCCUUCUCUGAACUAUUAUCAAUUAUAGCGUUUGCUAAGCUACUUCCGAGUCUAUUUUUGACGACUCGAGAAUAGAAGGACAUGUUUUCUUUUAAUGAGAUGAUUCAUACAUCAAAAAGACAAUCUUAGGAUGUUAGGAUGUGAAGAGACGGGUACUUAUUCUUGCCUGAAUAUUGAAGAAAGUGCUCUCAAUGUAGCUCGACUUUUGGAGAUAUUACUCUCAAUGUGUUUCGACUAUCGGAGAGAUUGCUCCCAAAAUGAUUCAAGAUUCGACUAUCGGAGAGAUUGCUCCCAAAAUGAUUCGAGUUUCGAAGAUAUUACUAUCAAUGUGGCUCGGUUAUCGGAGAAAUUACUCUUAAAAUAAUUCAACUAUCAGAGAGAUUACUCUCAAGGGAGGCCGACUAUCGGAAAAAAUUACUCUAAAAAUGAUCCGACUAUUUGAGAGAUUACUCUCAAUGUUCUUCGACUAUCGGAGAGAUUACUCUCAACAGACUUAUAUGUUCACCUUAAAUUUUGAAAAUAUAGUUUCAUUUUAAGGACAAACCUACAAAAAUGCCAACUUAAGAUGCUAAGUGACUCAUAUGUCCACCUUAAGAUUGAAAAGUUAUAGUUCCCUGUAAGGACAAAUCCAAGAAAAUGCCAACUUAAGAUGCAAAGGGACUCAUAUGUCCACCUUAAGAUUAGAAAGUUAUAGUUCCCUUUAAGAACAAACUCACGAAGGGAUCAACUUAAGGUGCAAAGGGAGUCAUAUGUCCACUUUAAUAUUGAAAAAUCAUAAAGCUUCAACUCGAAGACUUCGUGGACUUUUGACGAGUGUCUGGCGUGUGUAUAAAUUAAACUCGUACUCUGUCAAAUUAUAGUAUAGAAAGAUAUCGAACCAACAGAGAUUGGUUUAUCUAUUCUACAGACGUUUCUUGUUUUAACUACUAUUCGAGA